CAUGGCGUUAACGGGUAACGGAGAAUUAGGGUUCGAUUCCGGAGAGGGAGCCUGAGAAACGGCUACCACCUCCAAGGAAGGCAGCAGGCGCGUAAAUUACCCAAUCCUGACACAGGGGAGGUAGUGACAAUAAAUAUCAAUACGGGGCCAUUUUGGUUUCGUAAUUGGAAUGGGUGCAAAUCAAAACUCUGCACGAGGAACAAUUGGAGGGCAAGUCUGGUGCCAGCAGCCGCGGUAAUUCCAGCUCCAAUAGCGUAUAUUAAAGUUGUUGCAGUUAAAAAGUUCGUAGUUGAAUUUCUGAGCGCGGCGGCGGUCCGCCUUACGGUGUGCACUGGCUUGUCCGCGCUCAAACCUUGCGGAGAAGGCGUGUGGCCUUUACUGGUCGUGCGUUGGAUCCGCAUCAAUUACUGUGAGCAAAUUAGAGUGUUUAAAAGCGGGCGUUCGCUUGAAUACAUUAGCAUGGAAUAAUGAGAUAGGACUUUGUGCUAUUUCGUUGGUUGCGUGCCAGAGUAAUGAUUAAUAGGG
rnacentral:rRNA from 1 species